rnacentral:lncRNA from 1 species
CGCCACCGGUUCACAAUUCUCCACCACCACCCCCGGUUUACCUGCCCCCGCCACCUCCUCCACCAGUCUACGUGCCUGCUCCGGCACCAACUCCAAUUUUCCCUUCUCCGCCACCUCCUGUCCCCAAGUCCCCACCACCACCUCACCCUUACGUCUAUGCAUCUCCCCCUCCUCCUUACUACUACUAGAAAGCGGCCAUGAAUAGCUCAUGCUUUUAUGGUAAUCUCAUUUAUUUUUAAAACUGUACAUGUAAAGACUAGUAGUUCAGAAUUACAUUAAGCAUUUCAAUUUUAAGUACCGUGUUCUGUUUAAUUGCGUUCCUAUUGAUUAAGUGACAAAUAAAAGAGAUUGAUUAAUUUGUUCUUGUAGGAGAGGCGAAUGGUAUCCGAAUAAAGAAAGCAAGGGUUUGAUGGAAGGCUUACUUGGAGCAAGAUAGCGAUCAAUCGAGUUGCUGCGUUUUAUUCUCUUUUAUCUUUGUUUUUUAAGAAAAAUAAACUGCCACACGUAGAAACAGAAAAUUAAGUUCUUGUCAUUUUCAUGCAUAUGGAUUGUUGCUGUGUGUGUCAAUCAAAUCUCCGUUGUGUCAUUUGUAAUUGUCAACCUUUAUGCAUGCAAAUGCGAGACCUCUUACGUAUAAUAAAAUUAAUAUACUUCCCAAGAUGGUCUUAUCUUGCGUUGACUUUUUACGUUCCUUUUUUGUAUUAUCUAUUAAAAACCCCUCUUUUAAAGUUGUUUGAUUAGAGCAUCAUCUAGCCUUGCUUAACGCAGUAUUAAAAAUCCUUUUGAGUUUAAUCACACUUCGAUUAGAGCGUAACUUAAUCGCAUUGACUUGGUCCAGUACUUGAACGAUAUCUAGUGUUUUGCUUCCGCUAUGCCCAAGGAGAAAAUUAAUUUCACCGUGAGAUAAGAGCAUUAAAAGGAAUUCAUAAGAAAUUUAAAUUAAAGCUAUGUUAAAUAUAUCGCUAGCUACUUGUUUUUGGAGGAAUUAAAACAAUUAAUAAGCUGCGAAGUGAAAAUGAAUAAAUAAAUGAAAUGAGGUUGAAAAUAAGUCUCGCCGCCUGGAUCCAAGGCCAAAACAUUCAUGAUAAGUUAGGUAAUUAAGUACAUGUUUUCAAGCUCUUCAUGAAGAAUAACGUUAUUGAAAUAAAUCACAAAGACUCCCUGCGCAAAUUAUUACAUUGAUUAAAAAAAAAAAUGCCAUAUCUUUAACAGGAUCGUGGCUCUCGGACUGUUAAUUACUUUAUUCCCUGCUUGGCCAACAGCUGGUCACUAAACAAAAUCAUAAAAAUUUUAUAUUUAGUCAAAUUGGUCCCACUUGAUGACAUCCUUUUCAUACAUAAAAUUGUUUAACGUCAAGGUUAAAUAUGAGAAGUUUGGUAGAGAAGGUAAAAAGGAAGUCUAUAUAAGGAGGGGAACGAGCUUUGUUUAUAGCACAAGUGAAACUCCACUUUAUUGAACGAUGGGGUCUCAAAUGGGCUGCCUCUUUGCCACUCUUUUGGUAGUAUCAGUCUCUCUUAGCUACUUGCCGUUAGAAGCCUCCGCAAACAAAUACUACUACACAUCUCCUCCCCCUCCCAAGUACAAGUCUCCACCACCACCCCCGCCACCGGUUCACAAUUCUCCACCACCACCCCCGGUUUACCUGCCCCCGCCACCUCCUCCACCAGUCUACGUGCCUGCUCCGGCACCAACUCCAAUUUUCCCUUCUCCGCCACCUCCUGUCCCCAAGUCCCCACCACCACCUCACCCUUACGUCUAUGCAUCUCCCCCUCCUCCUUACUACUACUAGAAAGCGGCCAUGAAUAGC